rnacentral:rRNA from 1 species
GUCCACACUGUAAACGAUGAUCACUCGAUGUUGGCGAUACACAGCCAGCGUCUUAGCAAAGCGAUAAGUGAUCCACCUGGGGAGUACGCCGGCAACGGUGAAACUCAAAGGAAUUGACGGGGUCCGCACAAGCGGUGGAGCAUGUGGUUUAAUUUCGAUGAUACGCGAGGAACCUUACCUGGGCGUAGAAUGCCCUUGAUUGGUCCAGAGACGGAUCGUUCCGCAAGGACAAGGAGCAAGGUGCUGCAUGGCUGUCGU